UACGGGGGGGGCGAGCGUUGUUCGGAAUUACUGGGCGUAAAGGGUUUGUAGGUGGCCUGCUAAGUCAGACGUGAAAUCCCUCAGCUUAACUGGGGAACUGCGUCUGAUACUGGCGGGCUUGAGGACAGGAGAGGAACGCGGAAUUCCAGGUGUAGCGGUGAAAUUCGUAGAUAUUCGGAAGAACACCAGUGGCGAAGGCGGCUCACUGGCCCGGUACUGACGCUGAGGUGCGAAAGCGUGGGGAGCAAACAGG
rnacentral:rRNA from 1 species